rnacentral:rRNA from 1 species
GAUGAACGCUGGCGGCGUGCUUAACACAUGCAAGUCGAACGAUGAAGCCCAGCUUGCUGGGUGGAUUAGUGGCGAACGGGUGAGUAACACGUGAGUAACCUGCCCUUAACUCUGGGAUAAGCCUGGGAAACUGGGUCUAUUACCGGAUCGUCGCGUCCACCGCAUGGGGGGUGUUUGAAAGAUUUAUCGGUUUUGGAUGGACUCGGGGCCUAUCCGCUUGUUGGUGGUGGAGUGGCUCACCAAGGCGAAGACGGGUAGCGUGCAAGAGAAGGUGACCAGCGUCACGGGGCCUGCGAGAGGGAGCAGUGUCCAACGUGGGGCAGCAGUGGGGAAUAUGGCACAACGGGGGCAAGUCUGAUGAAGAGGUGUCGCGAUUGGGAUGAAGGCCUUGUGGUUGUAAAGCUCUUUCAGUAGGGAAGAAGCUAAAGUGACGGUACCUGCAGAAGAAGCACCGGCUAACUACGUG